rnacentral:rRNA from 1 species
UACGGGGGGGGCAAGCGUUGUUCGGAAUUACUGGGCGUAAAGGGCGCGUAGGCGGCACUGUUAGUCAGGCGUGAAAGUCCUGGGCUCAACCUGGGAACUGCGCUUGAUACGGCAGAGCUAGAGGAUGGAAGAGGGUCGCGGAAUUCCCAGUGUAGAGGUGAAAUUCGUAGAUAUUGGGAAGAACACCCGGUGGCGAAGGCGGCUCACUGGACUGGUAUUGACGCUGAGGUGCGAAAGCGUGGGGAGCAAACAGGG